CGCUUUAUGACCCGGUUGGCCGCAGCGGA
rnacentral:sRNA from 1 species